rfam:Gossypium arboreum cultivar AKA8401 contig_80208_1, whole genome shotgun sequence.
AACCCAUAGUGAGGGCACCUUCUCAAUAAGUCAUUGUAUCUCUUCCAUGCAUCAUAAAGAGUUUCUAGAUCCAUCUGCACAAAAGAAGAGAUAUCAUUCCUUAAUUU